rnacentral:rRNA from 1 species
GAGUUUGAUCCUGGCUCAGGAUGAACGCUAGCGGCAGGCCUAAUACAUGCAAGUCGAACGGGAUCGGGGGCUUCGGUCCCCGUGAGAGUGGCGCACGGGUGCGUAACGCGUGAGCAACCUGCCCGUCCCAGGGGGAUAGCCCGGAGAAAUCCGGAUUAAUACCGCAUGAGAAUGCAGGUCCGCAUGGGCCUUCAUUUAAAUAUUCAUAGGGGACGGAUGGGCUCGCGUGACAUUAGCUGGUUGGCGGGGUAACGGCCCACCAAGGCGACGAUGUCUAGGGGCUCUGAGAGGAGAAACCCCCACACUGGUACUGAGACACGGACCAGACUCCUACGGGAGGCAGCAGUAAGGAAUAUUGGUCAAUGGGGGAACCCUGAACCAGCCAUGCCGCGUGCAGGAAGACGGCCCUACGGGUUGUAAACUGCUUUUGCACGGGAAUAACCCCCGGUAUGUAUACCGGGCUGAAUGUACCGUGAGAAUAAGGAUCGGCUAACUCCGUG